CCUGAAUAAAUAAGGAUAGGGGGUCCUGCCUGCCCAGUGACCAAAAGUUAAACGGCCGCGGUAUCUUGACCGUGCGAAGGUAGCAUAAUCACUUGUCUCCUAAAUAGAGACUGGUAUGAAUGGCAAGACGGAGCUUUACUGUCUCCUCCUCUUUAAUCUGAAAUUCACAACCCCGUGAAGAGGCGAGGAUUAAUUCGUAAGACGAGAAGACCCUGUCGAGCUGCAGUAAAACUUUAACUAUUAUUUACCUCUAGUCUCACCUAAUACUAUAAAAUUAGUGGAUACUGAGGCAUAGCAAAUUGAAAUAAACUUUGAUUGGGGCAAUCCCGGAGAAAGAAAAUCCUCCGUUACUAUAUUGGUUUUAUAUAACCUAACUUAGAAGAACUAUAAUUCUAAAAUCAUAAAAUGAAGAUGUGAUCCACUUAUAGUGAUCAAAAGAACAAG
rnacentral:rRNA from 1 species